rnacentral:rRNA from 1 species
CCUACGGGAGGCAGCAGUGAGGAAUAUUGGUCAAUGGCCGGAAGGCUGAACCAGCCAAGCCGCGUGAAGGACGAAGGUGCCAAGCAUUGUAAACUUCUUUUGUCAAGGGACAAAAUCAGGCUCGAGAGCCUGAUCGAGUGUACUUGAAGAAAAAGCAUCGGCUAACUCCGUGCCAGCAGCCGCGGUAAUACGGAGGAUGCGAGCGUUAUCCGGAUUUAUUGGGUUUAAAGGGAGCGUAGAUGGACUGUUAAGUCAGUGGGAAAAGCUCGGGGCUCAAACGCCAGCGUGCAUUUGAAACUGGCUGUCUUGAGAUGUCGUGAGGUAGGCGGAAUGCGCAGUGUAGCGGUGAAAUGCUUAGAUAUUGCGCAGAACUCCGAUUGCGAAGGCAGCAUACCAGCGGCGCUCUGACACUGAGGCACGAAAGUGUGGGUAUCAAACAGGAUUAGAUACCCCGGUAGUC